rnacentral:misc_RNA from 1 species
AACGGUCUAUACCUGCGGUACCUGCGGAGGGAUCAUUAAUGUGAUAUAAUCUUAUGAGUGUGAAGUGGUGGCUGUGAGGGGGUGAGCGGGGGGGUGAUGGUGCUGUGCCUGAGGUGCGUUGUGCCUGAUGGUGUGUGCGCCUGAUGGUGUGUGCGCCUGAUGGUGUGUGCGCCGUUGCCGCCUCAGCUUGCUCCGUGCAGCCACUGGAUAACCAGCAUUGUGUGACGUGUAACCAAACUA